rnacentral:rRNA from 1 species
UACGGAGGGUGCAAGCGUUAUCCGGAUUCACUGGGCUUAAAGGGUGCGUAGGUGGGCAGGUAAGUCAGUGGUGAAAUCUCUGGGCUUAACCCGGAAACUGCCGUUGAUACUAUCUGUCUUGAAUAUAGUGGAGGUGAGCGGAAUAUGUCAUGUAGCGGUGAAAUGCUUAGAUAUGACAUAGAACAUCGAUUGCGAAGGCAGCUCGCUACACUAUGAUUGACACUGAGGCACGAAAGCGUGGGGAGCAAACAGG